rnacentral:tRNA from 1 species
GCUCACCUAGUCCAACGGUAGAGACACACGGCUUAGACCCGUGGUGAUCCCGGUUCGAAUCCGGGGGUGAGUA